UACCUAAAGUUCCCAUGGCAAACUGCUCAGUAACACAUGAUCAACUUACCCUAUAGAGAAAAAUAACCUCGGGAAACUGAGGAUAAUGUUUCAUAGUUGAAUUGGCUUGGAAAAGUUUUUCGACGAAAGGGGUAAAAAAAAUGGUUUUUAUCUGCUAUAGGAUAGGAUCGUGUUCGAUUAUGGUUGUUGGUGAGGUAAUGGCUCACCAAGCCGAUAAUCGAUAGGGGCCGUGAGAGCGGGAGCCCCGAGAUGGGUACUGAGACAACGACCCAGGCCUUACGAGGCGCAGCAGGCGCGAAACCUCCGCAAUACACGAAAGUGUGACGGGGUUACCCAAAGUGUUCAAUAGAACUGUGGUAGGUGAGUAAUGUCCCCUACUANAAAGGAAAGGGCAAGGCUGGUGCCAGCCGCCGCGGUAAAACCAGCUCUUCAAGUGGUCGGGAUAAUUAUUGGGCUUAAAGUGUCCGUAGCCGGUUUAGUAAGUUCCUGGUAAAAUCGGGUAGCUUAACUAUCUGCAUGCUAGGAAUACUGCUAUACUAAAGGGCGGGAGAGGUCUGAGGUACUACAGGGGUAGGGGUGAAAUCUUAUAAUCCUUGUAGGACCACCAGUGGCGAAGGCGUCAAACUGGAACGCGCCUGACGGUGAAGGACGAAAGCCAG
rnacentral:rRNA from 1 species